rnacentral:lncRNA from 1 species
UUCUUUUAGAACCCCUAAAAAAAUUUCUCUCACUAUUCAUUCUCUCUCUCCCGUCUCUUCUCAUCCACCCCACCCCUACCGCAACAAUCAUCCUCUAUGACUCCAAUGACUACCCAUUUCGGCAACAUUGUGAGGCCACUGAUGACGAAUCCGACAAUUCAGCAGUGCGAGACUCCAAUGAUUUUUUGUUGACGGAGACUGGUGGCAAUAUCAAAAGAAUGCUGACUUUGGAGUGGGCUUUCCGACGUACUAGAAUGUGCAGAUGGAGGUGCUCAAAGCUCGGGACAGAGCGAGGUAUGCUCGAAUCAUUGGUAUCUCAAAUCUGUGUUUACCACCGUGAUUUGAAACCAAAAAAUCUACUAUUGGUUGAGAAUGAAAUCUAACGAUAUCUGAUUUUGGGUUAAGUGCAUUGGCUGCAACAAUAAAUGUGGGUUAAAAAGACUGUUGUAUAUCUUGACAUUUUUGCUAUGUUGAAAGGUGAAAGAAGGAUGGAUUUGAACUUCUUAGGAUGAACGAAGCGAAUUUUUUGAUUUGGCUACAACGAUGAAGGGUGCUUAGUUUUUUUAAUCUUGUUUAGCCAAAGUUCUGUGGUGACCUCAUGUGACCAAGUAUGUGUUUUUGUGACUGUUCAUGAUCAAUUUUUUGUUGAUUGUGACUUAGUCACAGUUAAGAUUGACAUGAUCACAAACAGUCAUAUUGAAUACAAAUUUAAUCAUAGUUAGACAUAUCAAAGACAAAUUUGAUCGCAUUUAAUUACAGAUAACAUAGGCUAGUGAAUUGGUUACGUACAGUUACAAAUUAGACAUUCACAAUGAAAACAAGUUUGAUCACAAAACACAGGCAUAGUCACGAACAAUAAAUCUGGACACAGAUAAAUUUUUAGAUAAUGGGUUAAAAAGACUGUUGUAUAUCUUGACAUUUUUGUUAUGUUGAAAGGUGAAAGAAGGAUGGAUUUGAACUUCUUAGGAUGAACGAAGCGAAUUUUUUGAUUUGGCUACAACGAUGAAGGGUGC